rnacentral:lncRNA from 1 species
CCACACCUUCGAGGACGGACAAAUUUGUUGAGGUACAAAAUUAAAUAAAUAAAUGGUUUGUUUAUUGGGUUUUAAAUUAGGGUUUUGUUAUUGAAUUUGAUGAAUUUCUUUGUGUCGUGCAAAUAAGAUUGGUUGGCAUCUUAUUAAUUUAUUGGGUGUUAAUUUGAUGAAUUCCUUGCGGAUGAUAAUCAUCAUUCCUGUUACCGGAGAAAUCAUCGGUCCUUUUAUCACCCUAAGCAUUUCCGUCAACUAAAUUAAUUUUUGGGUUUUUAUUUUAAAGUUUAUUUUACUAUUUAAUCAUUGCAUUUGAUCGUGUAGGAUCUGAAAGGAAGAGAGGGAUAAUCGUUGGUGCAGUGGUGGUCGGUGUCGAGCGAGAGUGGGAGGGACAACGACGGUCCUAGGGAUUUGAUGCGGGGGGAGAACGAGGGAAUAGGAAAGAGAUCAUUCCAGUUGUUUUAGGGACAAGGAUUGUCAUUUUGCAAAACUAACGAGGGUGUUAUUG